rnacentral:rRNA from 1 species
AUAUCAGUCAUGCAUAGCAUAUCAAUAAGCGGAGGAAAAGAAACUAACAAGGAUUCCCUUAGUAACGGCGAGUGAAGCGGGAAGAGCUCAAAUUUGAAAUCUUCAAGGUUCUACCUUGACGAAUUGUAGUUUAUAGAAGUGUUUUCUGUUAGUGGAGUGGCAAAAGUUCUUUGGAAUAGGACAUCAUAGAGGGUGAGAAUCCCGUAUUUGGUCAUUCCUCCUAGCGUUGUGAUACACUUUCAACGAGUCGGAUUGUUUGGGAAUGCAGUCCAAAAUGGGUGGUAAAUUUCAUCUAAAGCUAAAUAUUGGCGAGAGACCGAUAGCGAACAAGUACCGUGAGGGAAAGAUGAAAAGAACUUUGAAAAGAGAGUUAAACAGUACGUGAAAUUGUCAAAAGGGAAGCGUUUGACACCAGUGUUGUUUUUCCGAAAAUCAAUUACGAAUGUUUUGUUUUUAAGAAGUUAUGACUUCAUCGGCUUGCUUCUUUCUCUACGAAACUUUCUUAAUGCACUUUUCGGUUAACGAAGUCAACAUCAAUUUCUUUUGUUGUAAAAGGGUAUGAGGAAGGUGGCUUUCUUUUCGGAGAAAGUGUUUAUAGCCUUGUGCCUCUGCAAUCGGAGAGAUUGAGGUCUGCAGCGUAGAUCCUUCGGGGUUAGAUACAUUUGUGCUAAGUUAUAGCUUUUCAUAGACAACUUGUUGACUAUGUUUAGUCUUGUAGCUUACUCGCUGACGCUAUUUUACCUACGCUUAGGAUGUUGAUCUCUCACAGUCGAGC